rnacentral:rRNA from 1 species
UACGUAGGGUGCGAGCGUUGUCCGGAAUUACUGGGCGUAAAGAGCUCGUAGGUGGUCUGUCGCGUUGUUCGUGAAAACUCACAGCUUAACUGUGGGCGUGCGGGCGAUACGGGCAGACUUGAGUACUGCAGGGGAGACUGGAAUUCCUGGUGUAGCGGUGGAAUGCGCAGAUAUCAGGAGGAACACCGGUGGCGAAGGCGGGUCUCUGGGCAGUAACUGACGCUGAGGAGCGAAAGCGUGGGGAGCGAACAGG